GAAGCUGGAAUCGCUAGUAAUCGCGAAUCAGAAUGUCGCGGUGAAUACGUUCCCGGGUCUUGUACACACCGCCCGUCACACCAUGGGAGUCGGAAAUGCCCGAAGUCUGUGACCUAACCGCAAGGGAGGAGCAGCCGAAGGCAGGUCGGAUGACUGGGGUGAAGUCGUAACAAGGUACC
rnacentral:rRNA from 1 species